CAUAAGAAUGUCCCCUUCGUACUGGCUCACCUGGUUCUUCAUCACGUGGAGCUAAUUGGAUGUAUACUAGAUUCCUGAAGAGGAUACCAUCCACCCUCUUCCUUUUGAAAUGCGUGGAAAUUGCUUGAGCAGAAACCACAGUCCAGAUGACCGGAGUCGGAGCCCCUGGGCGGACAGCUCGGAGGCAGAACAGGCAGGCAGGGCUGCACCGGAGAACGUCCCAUUGGCAGGACAGACAGGCUGGGCGUGAACAGACUCAGACACAGGAACAUGCUCGGGAAGAGAAACAUACCCAGGCUCAGACACAGAAAUAGAGACUCAGACCCAGUGACCGGCGCAGAGAAGGGAACAGAAAUGGACACAAAGACAGGGACAGUACCCAGGACAGACUCGGGAACAGGAAUGGACUCAGGGACAGGGACUGGUUCAGACACGCACUCAACCGGCUUGGACCAGAACAGGCUCAGACUCAAGGCUUGGGGGCAGCCUCAGGAACACAUUCAGGAACAGACUGGGUGUCGGCCGACUCAAGCGCCAGCUCAGCAGCAGGCAUGAUGUGAGUCAAUGUCGUGGCGAAAACCAGUCACUCUCCACAACCAAGAGUCAAAAGGCCACAUGUGUAGAUCUGAGGUUUAUUGUAGUCAUUAAGCCACAAUAGGAGAUGGUCCAUCGAUUAGCUUGAUCUCAUUGUAUGAAUGUUUGAUUAGACUUUUUAAAGAAACGUAGUUCCUCCCACUCUCUUGUGUUUGGCUGUUCUCCAAGGCCAAUCAGAACUAACCCCAUUCUCUAACUUUUACUCCCAACUUCUCUCUCUGUCUGUCUGUGUGCGUGUGUGUUUUUGGCACCACUCCCAUUUCCUUGUCUCCACCCUGGAUAUCUCCCUCUUAGCAGUCAACUGUUUGGUAUUGUUUGUCAGCCAUUUUGAGUGAGGCUUUUCAUACUUAUUAGUCAAUCCAUGUUCGCCAAUUUAUAAAAAUGAUCCAACUGUCAACUUGGGAGCAGGAGCCAGCAGCAGGCUUGGGUGCAGGGGCAGGCUCAGGAGCAGCUGAGGCAUCAGACGACUCAGGGAAAGACUCCGGUGCGGGAGCAGACUCAGGAAGCAACUCCACAGGGACCAACAAGGCGCAGGGCUGAGGGACCUCCAUGGCGCAGGGCUGCUGAGGGGUCGAGUCACUGUACAGCUGAGAGACUCAAAGUCAUCAGGAGCCACGCUUUUUUUCUGGGGGAUGGUCUG